GUAGAGGUUGAAGUAGCGGCUAGCGACGGCGAGUGGCGCUAACCGAUCGACGGAACCUCGUUCGCCUUAGGGGUUGGUGUGUUCAUGAAGAUCAAUUGCUUCUUGUAUAUGAUACAUGCCUAAUCUCAGCCUCGAUCAGAUUCUCUUCAAAUGACCUGAUUGCCCUGCGUCGCCGAUUCUCAAUUGGGAACAGAGAUGGUGAAUUGUGGCGGGUCUUGCGGCUGCUCUAUUCUAUCUACAUGAGCAAUUGGAGACACAAAUCAUUCACCGAGAUGUCAAGAUUAGUACUGUCAUGUUAGAUUCCAAUUAUAAUGCUCGGUUGGACGAUUUCGGAUUAGCACGGUGGCUAGAGCAUGAACUUGAAUUUGCAGCACCAUCUUUUGAUAGCAAUUAUGAGUUCAGGAUGGCGGAGACAACCAGAAUUCGUGGCACAAUUGGGUACUUGCCACCGGAGAGCUUCUAGAAAAAGAGCAUUGCUACUGCAAAAUCUGAUGUUUUUAGCUUUGGGAUUGUUGUUUUGGAGGUGGCGAGUGGUUGGCGAGCAAUCGAUCUCGCCAUCCAAGAUGAGCAGAUUGUCCUACUUGAUUGGGUUUGACGGCUAUCCGGUGAAGGAACAGCUUGAAGCAACCACGUCGAUAACAGACAAGAGAAUACCACUUUUCCCCUUUUUCGGUGGUUGAAUUUGGUGCAAAUAUCAGUUUGCUAAUAAUCACACCUUCUUCAGUGUCAACUAAUAUUGAGUUCCAUCGUGAUAAGGACUCAAUAUCAGGUUCCCUAAACUUCUACCAAAACUUUAUCAGGUUCCAAAGCAGCUAGAAAUCUUGUCUCCAUGUACUUUCUCUUUCGUAAACAUAUUGGGUUUCAUUAGUCGAAUAGGGCUCUACCUUGUAUAUGUAUAUAAGGUGAUAUUUUCCUACUCGCUACUCACUUUUCAUGCUAAAACUUGUGCUAAGACAUAACAGUAUUUCUUCAUGAUAUGUAAGGCUAGAGUUUUGAAGUUCCUGCUGUUGUAGAAUGGUGGUUUAUUAUGUAUUGAUUUAGUUUGCUUAUAA